CAGCUUGCUGCUUCGCUGACGAGUGGCGGACGGGUGAGUAAUGUCUGGGAAACUGCCUGAUGGAGGGGGAUAACUACUGGAAACGGUAGCUAAUACCGCAUAACGUCGCAAGACCAAAGAGGGGGACCUUCGGGCCUCUUGCCAUCGGAUGUGCCCAGAUGGGAUUAGCUAGUAGGUGGGGUAACGGCUCACCUAGGCGACGAUCCCUAGCUGGUCUGAGAGGAUGACCAGCCACACUGGAACUGAGACACGGUCCAGACUCCUACGGGAGGCAGCAGUGGGGAAUAUUGCACAAUGGGCGCAAGCCUGAUGCAGCCAUGCCGCGUGUAUGAAGAAGGCCUUCGGGUUGUAAAGUACUUUCAGCGGGGAGGAAGGGAGUAAAGUUAAUACCUUUGCUCAUUGACGUUACCCGCAGAAGAAGCACCGGCUAACUCCGUGCCAGCAGCCGCGGUAAUACGGAGGGUGCAAGCGUUAAUCGGAAUUACUGGGCGUARAGCGCACGCAGGCGGUUUGUUAAGUCAGAUGUGAAAUCCCCGGGCUCAACCUGGGAACUGCAUCUGAUACUGGCAAGCUUGAGUCUCGUAGAGGGGGGGUAGAAUUCCAGGUGUAGCGGUGAAAUGCGUAGAGAUCUGCAGAAUACGGUGCGAAGCUGCCCCUUGGACGAGACUGUCGCUCAGUGCGAAGCGUGCGUAGCAGAAGSAUUAAUAUACCCUGGGUAAUUCACCG
rnacentral:rRNA from 1 species